rnacentral:rRNA from 1 species
AGUGAACGCUGGCAGUAGGCCUAACACAUGCAAGUCGAACGGCAGCACAGUAAGAGCUUGCUCUUACGGGUGGCGAGUGGCGGACGGGUGAGGAAUACAUCGGAAUCUACUUUUUCGUGGGGGAUAACGUAGGGAAACUUACGCUAAUACCGCAUACGACCUACGGGUGAAAGCAGGGGAUCUUCGGACCUUGCGCGAUUGAAUGAGCCGAUGUCGGAUUAGCUAGUUGGCGGGGUAAAGGCCCACCAAGGCGACGAUCCGUAGCUGGUCUGAGAGGAUGAUCAGCCACACUGGAACUGAGACACGGUCCAGACUCCUACGGGAGGCAGCAGUGGGGAAUAUUGGACAAUGGGCGCAAGCCUGAUCCAGCCAUACCGCGUGGGUGAAGAAGGCCUUCGGGUUGUAAAGCCCUUUUGUUGGGAAAGAAAAGCAGCAGGUUAAUACCCCGCUGUUCUGACGGUACCCAAAGAAUAAGCACCAGCUAACUUCGUG